rnacentral:rRNA from 1 species
GUUAAGUCAGGCAACGAGCGAGACCCACGCCCACAGUUGCCAGCGUACUCUCCGGAGUGACGGGUACACUGUGGGGACCGCCGCUGCUAAAGCGGAGGAAGGAAUGGGCAACGGUAGGUCAGUAUGCCCCGAAUAUCCCGGGCUACACGCGAGCUACAAUGGUUGGUACAAUGGGUAUCUACCCCGAAAGGGGACGGGAAUCUCCUAAAACCAAUCUUAGUUCGGAUUGAGGGCUGCAACUCGCCCUCAUGAAGCUGGAAUCCGUAGUAAUCGCGUUUCAACAGAACGCGGUGAAUACGUCCCUGCUCCUU